UUGAGCUUGGAUCCUGGCUCAGAUUGAACGCUGGCGGCAGGCCUAACACAUGCAAGUCGAGCGGCAGCACGAGAAAGCUUGCUUUCUUGGUGGCGAGCGGCGGACGGGUGAGUAAUACAUGGGAAUCUGCCCGAUAGUGGGGGACAACGUUUCGAAAGGAACGCUAAUACCGCAUACGUCCUACGGGAGAAAGCAGGCUUAGGCUUGCGCUAUCGGAUGAGCCCAUGUCGGAUUAGCUUGUUGGUGAGGUAAUGGCUCACCAAGGCGACGAUCCGUAACUGGUCUGAGAGGAUGAUCAGUCACACCGGAACUGAGACACGGUCCGGACUCCUACGGGAGGCAGCAGUGGGGAAUAUUGGACAAUGGGGGCAACCCUGAUCCAGCCAUGCCGCGUGUGUGAAGAAGGCCUUCGGGUUGUAAAGCACUUUCAGCGAGGAGGAAAGCAGUAAGGUUAAUACCCUUAUUGUGUGACGUACUCGCAGAGAGACCG
rnacentral:rRNA from 1 species